GGGUUGGUUGUGUGUGGGAGAAUCAGGAAGAGGGAGCUUGUUCAUAAUCCAGCUCGUUUACCCAACAAACAAUAAAACAGAAGGCAGGAUUGUUCGGAGAUGCCGGAUGGCAGCCAUGAGAAAGACCCCACUGGUCUGAGAGGUCUGUGCAGGAAUGCACGGAGCCUGGGAAACACAGAGAGGUAUGGGGCCUGAGGGUGAGGACGCAGGACAGGUUAGGGACGGGUGGCGCUGGGUGCUGGCUCUGGCAGAGAGCAAGCCAACUGGGGGCAUUUCUUUCCAGCCCCGUGGCUGAUGGUCUCGCCGUGCGUGAUGGUGAAUUUUAUGUGUCGCCUUGAUGGGACCUUGGGGGUGCUCAGACAUUUGGUCAAGCCUCUGUGUUUGCGAGGAUGUUUCUGGAUGGGACUAGCAUUCAAAUCUGCAGACCGAGGCAAGCAGAGUGUCCUCCCCGCAGAAGGUGGGCCUCACCUCAUCCAUCAGGGGCCUGAAUAGAAUAAAAAGUUGAAGAGGAGAGAAUUAUUUGCCUCUGCCUGUCUUCAAGGUGGAACCAUAGGUCUUCUCCUGCCUUUGGACUUAGACUCAGCAGAAAGAGCACCUCCCCUGGCCAAUGCUUUUGGCAGGAUUCCAGAAUGUGCACUCCUGGAGCCCUGGACCACGGCUGGCUUGGUUCCAGCCCAUCUGUGACCAUCUCUCCUAGGAUGCUGGGAUGUUCUGUGGGGCCAAGCUAGGGCUACUUGCCUACUUCUGCUGCAAGGGAGGGGUCAGCCCCAUGGGAACCAUAAGUGUGGGGAUUGGGGCAGCCUGAUUCUCUAGGAAGAACUGCUGCCCUCUUUCUAGGAAAAAGGAGAAGGGAUUUCAGGCAGCCCAAGCUAACAGAGGCCUGCUGUGCACUUGUGUGUUCUGAGCACUGGCUAGGAAGUGCAGGGCUUCCAAGAAGACCUAAAAUUCAUGAGAACCAAGACAAGGCAGUGAAGGUGUGAUCCUGAUAAAAGGUGACCAAGACAAGGCAGUGAACGUGUCAUCCUGAUAAAAGGGGCCGCACCGUUUUACAUCCCCACCCACAGUGUGCAAGGGUUCCAGUUUCUCCAUGGCCUCGCUGACACUUGUUAUUCUCCACCUCGUUGACAGUAGCCAUCCUGAGGAGUGUGAGGUGGUGCUGUGUGUUAUUCUCCACCUCAUUGACAGUAGCCAUCCUGAGGAGUGUGAGGUGGUGCUGUGUGUUAUUCUCCACCUCAUUGACAGUAGCCAUCCUGAGGAGUGUGAGGUGGUGCUGUGUGUUAUUCUCCACCUCGUUGACAGUAGCCAUCCUGAGGAGUGUGAGGUGGUGCUGUGUGUUACUUUUACUUGUCUCCAUGCAGCUAAGGGCACGCCAGUGCACGCCUAAUGCAGGCGGGGUGACACCUGCACAGUUCCAUCUGCUGCUUCACGACGUGUUGCUAACUCAGUCGCCGACCACUGGACUCUGGGCUGCUCCAUUCCUAACUUCCACAGUGUUGAUGGAUACCGAUGCAAGCCCUUCUGGGGAAGACACAGUGAGAGCCUCUCUCAGCCAUGCAUUCCUCAGCCUGACUGCAAGGUCGCAGCCCCCUACAAAGCCCAGUCUGAGUGCUUCCCAGGCUGCCAUGUGCCAGGUCUCCCUCCCACGGCUGUCCUGGAAGGCUCUGCUUUGCACCAACUUGCCAGCACUUGGCAUUAGUCAACCCUCUAGCUUUUACCAAUCUGAUGGGUGUAAAGGGAAUUCCUGCGUUUUACUUUGCAUUUCUCUGAUUCCUGUGGGUUUGAGCAGCUCUUCAUUGAAUUGUGUGUCAUUUGCACUUUCCCUUCUGGGAAUUGUCUGUUGGGGUUGGCUUUCUGUCAACUUAAACAGGAGCAAACUUGGUUACUUUUAAUUAAAAGCAGGCUCGUGGCAGCAGGGGAGUUUUACAUGCAUAGGAAGGUCAGGUCCAGCCCUGCCCAUCUUCGUGCAUACUCUCUCUUUGGUCACUGCUGUGCGGCAUGGUGAGCUUGGCACCUGGCCUUCAGAAUGCAGCCACAGAAGGGAGUUCAUGGGCUAGGCAUUCUGCUAAGGGACACAGCUGUCUCUGGCUCCUGCAUCCAAUUACUGGACUCUCUGCUUCAUUGCUCUGGUGGAGCUGCCAGCCUGAGUCUCCACAUGUUCUUUCAACACUCCCUUGGUGGCCAGCCCAGUGUGCUUUUAAUCAUUGACAAGCAAGAGGAUGCCACAGAGAAGGAUGUUGGCUGCUGUUCAGGCAUUUGGGGACUGGCAGGGAGGGCUGCUGUCCACGACGGAGGAUGCCACAAGUGGAUUCAAGACUGAGUUUUUUGUUUUUCUAUCCAUCAACUCAAGCAUUUGUUAUUUUGUUUGUGUUACACAUAGUCCAAUUAUACUCUUUUAGCUAUUUUUAAAUGUACAAUAAAUUUUUAUUGAUUCUA